GGGGAUGUGGCGCAGUGGUCAGCGUGUUUGCUUUGCAAGCAAAAAGUCGUGAGUUCGAAUAUUUAAUACUCACCAUCUCCA
rnacentral:tRNA from 1 species